GUCCAGACUCCUACGGGAGGCAGCAGUGGGGAAUAUUGCACAAUGGGGGAAACCCUGAUGCAGCGACGCCGCGUGAGUGAAGAAGUAUUUCGGUAUGUAAAGCUCUAUCAGCAGGGAAGAAAAUGACGGUACCUGACUAAGAAGCCCCGGCUAACUACGUGCCAGCAGCCGCGGUAAUACGUAGGGGGCAAGCGUUAUCCGGAUUUACUGGGUGUAAAGGGAGCGUAGACGGCAUGGCAAGUCAGAUGUGAAAGCCCGGGGCUCAACCCCGGGACUGCAUUUGAAACUGUCAGGCUGGAGUGCAGGAGAGGUAAGUGGAAUUCCUAGUGUAGCGGUGAAAUGCGUAGAUAUUAGGAGGAACACCAGUGGCGAAGGCGGCUUACUGGACUGUAACUGACGUUGAGGCUCGAAAGCGUGGGGAGCAAACAGGAUUAGAUACCCCCGUAU
rnacentral:rRNA from 1 species